rnacentral:rRNA from 1 species
GUCUGUGGCCACGCUACCCUGGACAAGCCUGAUCCCGUCUGAUCUCGGAAGCUAAGCAGGGUCGGACCUGGUUAGUACUUGAUGGGAGACCACCUAGGAAGACCAGGUGCUGUUGGCA